rnacentral:rRNA from 1 species
GACGAACGCUGGCGGCGUGCUUAACACAUGCAAGUCGAGCGGUAAGGCCCUUUCGGGGGUACGACGAGCGGCGAACGGGUGAGUAACACGUGGGUGACCUGCCCUCAGCUCUGGGAUAAGCCUGGGAAACUGGGUCUAAUACCGGAUAUGACUCCAUGACGCAUGUUGUGGGGUGGAAAGCCCUGUGCGGCUGAGGAUGGGCCCGCGGCCUAUCAGCUUGUUGGUGGGGUGANGGCCUACCAAGGCGACGACGGGUAGCCGGCCUGAGAGGGCGACCGGCCACACUGGGACUGAGACACGGCCCAGACUCCUACGGGAGGGCAGCAGUGGGGAAUCUUGCGCAAUGGGCGAAAGCCUGACGCAGCGACGCCGCGUGAGGGAUGACGGCCCUCGGGUUGUAAACCUCUUUCAGCUCCGACGAAGCGAGAGUGACGGUAGGAGCAGAAGAAGCACCGGCCAACUACGUGCCAGCAGCCGCCGCCGUAAG